rnacentral:rRNA from 1 species
UCAAGUGAAGAAGCGCAUACGGUGGAUGCCUUGGCAGUCAGAGGCGAUGAAAGACGUGGUAGCCUGCGAAAAGCUUCGGGGAGUCGGCAAACAGACUUUGAUCCGGAGAUCUCUGAAUGGGGGAACCCACCUAGGAUAACCUAGGUAUCUUGUACUGAAUCCAUAGGUGCAAGAGGCGAACCAGGGGAACUGAAACAUCUAAGUACCCUGAGGAAAAGAAAUCAACCGAGAUUCCCUUAGUAGUGGCGAGCGAACGGGGAUUAGCCCUUAAGCUUCAUUGAUUUUAGCGGAACGCUCUGGAAAGUGCGGCCAUAGUGGGUGAUAGCCCCGUACGCGAAAGGAUCUUUGAAGUGAAAUCGAGUAGGACGGAGCACGAGAAACUUUGUCUGAACAUGGGGGGACCAUCCUCCAAGGCUAAAUACUACUGACUGACCGAUAGUGAACCAGUACCGUGAGGGAAAGGCGAAAAGAACCCCGGAGAGGGGAGUGAAAUAGAACCUGAAACCGUAUGCGUACAAGCAGUGGGAGCCUACUUGUUAGGUGACUGCGUACCUUUUGUAUAAUGGGUCAGCGACUUAUAUUCAGUGGCAAGCUUAACCGUAUAGGGUAGGCGUAGCGAAAGCGAGUCUUAAUAGGGCGUUUAGUCGCUGGGUAUAGACCCGAAACCGGGCGAUCUAUCCAUGAGCAGGUUGAAGGUUAGGUAACACUGACUGGAGGACCGAACCCACUCCCGUUGAAAAGGUAGGGGAUGACUUGUGGAUCGGAGUGAAAGGCUAAUCAAGCUCGGAGAUAGCUGGUUCUCCUCGAAAGCUAUUUAGGUAGCGCCUCAUGUAUCACUCUGGGGGGUAGAGCACUGUUUCGGCUAGGGGGUCAUCCCGACUUACCAAACCGAUGCAAACUCCGAAUACCCAGAAGUGCCGAGCAUGGGAGACACACGGCGGGUGCUAACGUCCGUCGUGAAAAGGGAAACAACCCAGACCGCCAGCUAAGGUCCCAAAGUUGUGGUUAAGUGGUAAACGAUGUGGGAAGGCUUAGACAGCUAGGAGGUUGGCUUAGAAGCAGCCAUCCUUUAAAGAAAGCGUAAUAGCUCACUAGUCGAGUCGGCCUGCGCGGAAGAUGUAACGGGGCUCAAACCACACACCGAAGCUGCGGGUGUCACGCAAGUGACGCGGUAGAGGAGCGUUCUGUAAGCCUGUGAAGGUGAGUUGAGAAGCUUGCUGGAGGUAUCAGAAGUGCGAAUGCUGACAUGAGUAACGACAAUGGGUGUGAAAAACACCCACGCCGAAAGACCAAGGGUUCCUGCGCAACGUUAAUCGACGCAGGGUUAGUCGGUUCCUAAGGCGAGGCUGAAAAGCGUAGUCGAUGGGAAACAGGUUAAUAUUCCUGUACUUCUGGUUACUGCGAUGGAGGGACGGAGAAGGCUAGGCCAGCUUGGCGUUGGUUGUCCAAGUUUAAGGUGGUAGGCUGAAAUCUUAGGUAAAUCCGGGGUUUCAAGGCCGAGAGCUGAUGACGAGUCGUCUUUUAGAUGACGAAGUGGUUGAUGCCAUGCUUCCAAGAAAAGCUUCUAAGCUUCAGGUAACCAGGAACCGUACCCCAAACCGACACAGGUGGUCGGGUAGAGAAUACCAAGGCGCUUGAGAGAACUCGGGUGAAGGAACUAGGCAAAAUGGCACCGUAACUUCGGGAGAAGGUGCGCCGGCUAGGGUGAAGGAUUUACUCCGUAAGCUCUGGCUGGUCGAAGAUACCAGGCCGCUGCGACUGUUUAUUAAAAACACAGCACUCUGCAAACACGAAAGUGGACGUAUAGGGUGUGACGCCUGCCCGGUGCCGGAAGGUUAAUUGAUGGGGUUAGCGCAAGCGAAGCUCUUGAUCGAAGCCCCGGUAAACGGCGGCCGUAACUAUAACGGUCCUAAGGUAGCGAAAUUCCUUGUCGGGUAAGUUCCGACCUGCACGAAUGGCGUAACGAUGGCGGCGCUGUCUCCACCCGAGACUCAGUGAAAUUGAAAUCGCUGUGAAGAUGCAGUGUAUCCGCGGCUAGACGGAAAGACCCCGUGAACCUUUACUGUAGCUUUGCACUGGACUUUGAGCCUGCUUGUGUAGGAUAGGUGGGAGGCUUUGAAGCGUGGACGCCAGUUCGCGUGGAGCCAUCCUUGAAAUACCACCCUGGCAUGCUUGAGGUUCUAACUCUGGUCCGUNNNNNNNNNNAGAGUAUAAAGGCAAAAGCGCGCUUGACUGCGAGACAGACACGUCGAGCAGGUACGAAAGUAGGUCUUAGUGAUCCGGUGGUUCUGUAUGGAAGGGCCAUCGCUCAACGGAUAAAAGGUACUCCGGGGAUAACAGGCUGAUACCGCCCAAGAGUUCAUAUCGACGGCGGUGUUUGGCACCUCGAUGUCGGCUCAUCACAUCCUGGGGCUGAAGCCGGUCCCAAGGGUAUGGCUGUUCGCCAUUUAAAGUGGUACGCGAGCUGGGUUUAGAACGUCGUGAGACAGUUCGGUCCCUAUCUGCCGUGGACGUUUGAGAUUUGAGAGGGGCUGCUCCUAGUACGAGAGGACCGGAGUGGACGAACCUCUGGUGUUCCGGUUGUCACGCCAGUGGCAUUGCCGGGUAGCUAUGUUCGGAAAAGAUAACCGCUGAAAGCAUCUAAGCGGGAAACUUGCCUCAAGAUGAGAUCUCACUGGGAACUUGAUUCCCCUGAAGGGCCGUCGAAGACUACGACGUUGAUAGGCUGGGUGUGUAAGCGUUGUGAGGCGUUGAGCUAACCAGUACUAAUUGCCCGUGAGGCUUGACCAU